AUUUUAUUUAUAUAUUUAUAUAUAAAAAAUAUAUAAAUAAAAUAAAAUAAUACAAUAAUAAAACAUCUAGUUUAAAGAAUAUUUUUGGAGGUUAAAUUAAUGAAUACAUGUCCAGCAGAUAAAUGCGUGAGACACACCAAAACUCCCGGAAAGGAGUAAGGACUGUACAAAGUGAGCUGUCCUCGGUAAUCAAUCAUUCUGUCAUCAAUACUCCACACAACAAAUGUGUAUUGUCAUUAGCUUUUAUAGGUAAAGAAAUUAAAGCGAGAAUUGUUACAAAAAAGGAGAGGAAUAUUCUGAUGUUAUAUUCACAGAAAACCCUGAGCUGAAUUUGCCGAAUUUAGAAGGUUGAUGAGGUAAUCCUUCUCGUCAAACCAGAAUGUGACGGUUAGAAUAGAUAGGAAAGCCGGCCCCUGGCUAUAGUCGGGUGGGGACUAAUCCAGCAUUUCCCCGGGGUGUGGGCUGGGGAGGGCUGGAGAAUAAAUCGGGGGUGUCAGUGACAAGGUGACAUUUGCACGCGCCCUGAAGACUGAGUGGUUUCCGAGGUUCUGUAGAGAAAGAUAGUGCGCAAGCAACUGAGGAAACCGUCUGAGCAAAGCCAGGAGGCUGAAAAGCAAAGGGGCCGAGAACUUCGUGGCACUCACUCAGAACAACUCGAGAUUCAUGCCCAGGUUCUCUGGUCAGGAAGCUUCAGGCUCCUCCGAGCCCACCCUGGGGACGUGCGGCACAGGGAAUCAGUGCAAGAAAAUACCAAUUCUCUGGAUCUUCUAUUUCUAUUUAACUGAUCCUCACAAAAGAAACCACAGAUCGAAGGCAAUUCUCGUGAUAUGGGCUCAAGAGAACAAGAAAGUGGAGGGGCUAACUCUCCUAACAGGAGACACAUUUGCAGCUUCUUGAAGAGUUGGUCAAAGAAGCAUAAGGAGGACAUCUAUUUACAUUCCAGUUCAGGAAUUCUCAGGAAGAUGUAGGAUGAAAUCAGGAAGACGAGGAAGAUUCGGUGAGAUUGGAAGUGUCUUAAAACUAAAGAUUGUGGUCAGUAAAGUGGUGGAGAACUUCCGGGUGGGACUGCCAAAGGACGGGGAGGAAUUCUACCUGAAAGCUGAGGAUGCUGAAGCACUUCCGCUCUUGCCUGAUGAUUUUGGCUUUAUCUGUUUCCCUCUCAUCAAUUUGUCUAUCUGAUGCUUUCUAACAAGUAAAAUAGAUCCUUUCCCACCACUCUCAGUUUACUUUUUGCCUUUUCUGCCCUCUUCUCACUCCAGUAGAAACUUAUUUUCCCAAUGAUCUUCUCUUCCUUCUAUUCACUUUUCAAAACCUGCUGUGGGAAAUGAGCU
rnacentral:lncRNA from 1 species